UAGGUGGGGGGAUCAGCUCAUAGCGUAUAUUAAGUUGUUGCAGUUAAAAAGCUCGUAGUUGAAUUUCGGGAUCAAUAUUUCGGUCAUGCCGUUGGUAUGCACUGUUACCAUUGAUUUCUCACCUUCUAAGGAACCGUAAUGCCAUUAAUUUGGUGUUACGGGGAAUUAGGACUGUUACCUUGAAAAAAUUAGAGUGUUUAAAGCAGGCAAU
rnacentral:rRNA from 1 species